CAGUCGCCGCGGAAAUACGGAGGGUGCAAGCGUUAAUCGGAAUUACUGGGCGUAAAGCGCACGCAGGCGGUCUGACAAGUCAGAUGUGAAAUCCCCGGGCUUAACCUGGGAACUGCAUUUGAAACUGUCAGGCUGGAGUCUUGUAGAGGGGGGUGGAAUUCCAGGUGUAGCGGUGAAAUGCGUAGAGAUCUGGAGGAAUACCGGUGGCGAAGGCGGCCCCCUGGACAAAGACUGACGCUCAGGUGCGAAAGCGUGGGGAGCAAACAGGAUUAGAUACCCCUGUAGUCCCUGUCUCUUAUAC
rnacentral:rRNA from 1 species